GACGAACGCUGGCGGCGUGCUUAACACAUGCAAGUCGAACGGAAAGGCCCUGCUUUUGUGGGGUGCUCGAGUGGCGAACGGGUGUGUAACACGUGAGUAACCUGCCCUUGACUUUGGGAUAACUUCAGGAAACUGGGGCGAAUACCGGAUAGGAGCUCCUGCUGCAUGGGGGGGGUUGGAAAGUUUCGGCGGUUGGGGAUGGACUCGCGGCUUAUCAGCUUGUUGGUGGGGUAGUGGCUUACGAAGGCUUUGACGGGUAGCCGGCCUGAGAGGGUGAACGGGCACAAUGGGCCUGCGGUACGCACCAGACUGGAACGGGAGGCAGCGGGGGGGAGUCUUACACAACGGGGGGAAGCCUGAGGCGGAAACGCCGCGUGCGGGAUGACGGCUUUUGGGUUGUAAACCGCUGUCGCAGGUGACGAAGCGGGAGUGACGGUACUGGGUAAAGAAGCACCGGCUAACUACGUG
rnacentral:rRNA from 1 species